UACGUAGGGUGCAAGCGUUGUCCGGAAUUAUUGGGCGUAAAGAGCUCGUAGGCGGUUUGUUGCGUCGGCUGUGAAAUCCCGAGGCUCAACCUCGGGUCUGCAGUCGAUACGAGCAAACUAGAGUGUUGCAGGGGAGACUGGAAUUCCUGGUGUAGCGGUGAAAUGCGCAGAUAUCAGGAGGAACCACCCGUAGCGGAAGGCGGCAGCUCUGGGCCGA
rnacentral:rRNA from 1 species